CUGACUUCUCCUUACCUAAAAACAACUCUGGACCAACUCAUGACUGGAUUUGCAGAACACUAGUUGCAGAGUACAUAACCUUGUCAGCUGCAAGUGGGGAUACCAAUGUCGCUGGCCAAAGCCGCUCCUAUGUGACUGCCUGGUGAUGAUUCUUCAACACAGAAGCACAGCCUGUAUUGAGAGGCUCACUCUGAUUGCAGAGGUUGGGGAAGAGAUACUAGAUGGAAGCCCUUCAGGAGGCCCUUGCCAUGAUCCAGGAUCCAAGUAA
rnacentral:lncRNA from 1 species